GCAGCCAAUCGAAGGGCGAGGUGAAAGGCAAGGGGUGGAGCUGUCGUAAUGGCGGAGGCUGCCUUCCCGGUCCUUCUAGGCUACCGGGCCUGUGGUCUACGAGUUAGGGCUGUGUUGUUCUGUACAGAGAGCGAGUGAUGCUGUUUUUCUUCUCCCUACAAUACUCUGUUCAUGGGAUUCCUGGCGACUGUUAGGCACAGUGAUUUUACGCUUGCCUCGGUAGAGAGUGGGGAAGGGAGAGGCGAGAGAACUCUAUGUUGAACAUUUUUAAAGACAAAAUUUUUUAAAUCAAUUAUUUAUGAUUGUGCAUGUGCGUUUUCCUUGCGUGUUUGUCUGUGCACUAUGUCAGUGCAGAGCCCGCAGAAGUCAGAAACGAGUGUCAUUUGGAAGGCAAAAACCAAAUUGGGACUGUCCACCAUGGCUUGCAUCUCUCAGCCAUGAGGCUGCAACUGCAACACCUGCUGGCCGGUAAUGAUUAUUACACCUACUCCAAUUCACUGUAAUUACCUUAGGACAGGAGAAGAAAAACUAUGGACACCACCAAAAUUAAUAAAGAUUUGCUUUGUAAAAGAGAAACUCUUGAGAAAGAGAAACGACAACUCAGCUCAUCCACAGAGCUGACAACCAUACAGGUGAUGAAGAUCAUCACAGAAAGCCACAAUCAAUCAAACUGCAGAGAACAAGCGACCAUGUGGUGUCCAGUCGCAACUGAAACGUCUACAACACAACUCCUGUGCCUAAGAUUUGUGGGGGCCAAAAUGGAAGAGAGGGGGCGGAAAGACUGUAAGCGUCCGCGGAACAGGAACUUUGAUGUGAAAUUGCAUCUCCUAGGAAUGUAAUGGAAUAAGACGCUUCACCUAUGAAGCCCCAUCAACGUGCUGACUGAACAAGGGCAGCAUGGAUAAUGUGGUACUAUGGAAGGCGGAAAUCUCCUGGGGCCUCAACCAUAGACAAGGAAAUACUGGGGGAGAAAUAGUCUGUCCCAGUGAAGAGCUCACAGAUUAGUUAUCCAACACCAAGUGGUCAGCACUGAAAUCAAACACAUAAAAAUACCAUCAUAUGGACUGAGCAGGUUGUAGUUAUGUAUUUAGGAGGGUGUGUGUGUAAAACAACAAAGAAAGACCAUGAAUUUGAGAGAGAGAGAGAGAGAGAGAGAGAGAGAGUGCAAGGGACAGGUAACAUGGGAAAAGUUAGAGGGUGGAAGGGAAGGGGUAAUUAUGUAAUUAUAUUUUAAUUUCAAAAUAAAAACUUUA